GACGAACGCUGGCGGCGUGCUUAACACAUGCAAGUCGAACGGAAAGGCCCUGCUUGCAGGGUGCUCGAGUGGCGAACGGGUGAGUAACACGUGGGUGAUCUGCCCCUUAUUUUGGGAUAAGCCUGGGAAACUGGGUCUAAUACUGGAUAGGACCAUGCUGUAGGUGGUGUGGUGGAAAGAUUAGUUUCGGUAAGGGAUGAGCUCGCGGCCUAUCAGCUUGUUGGUGGGGUAAUGGCCUACCAAGGCGUCGACGGGUAGCCGGCCUGAGAGGGUGGACGGCCACAUUGGGACUGAGAUACGGCCCAGACUCCUACGGGAGGCAGCAGUGGGGAAUAUUGCACAAUGGGCGCAAGCCUGAUGCAGCGACGCCGCGUGGGGGAUGACGGCCUUCGGGUUGUAAACUCCUUUCAGCCGUGACGAAGCCCUUGUGGUGACGGUAGUGGUAGAAGAAGCACCGGCUAACUACGUG
rnacentral:rRNA from 1 species